AUGGUGACCAGAAUGUUCCUUUAAUUUGCUUAAAGGAACACUAUAGUGUCAGGAAUACAAACAUGUAUUCCUGACACAGUAGUUGUGAAAACGCUGUUCACCCUGGUAUUAUGUGAUAAUGACUAUGCUCCUCCCCUUCAUGACACUGUCAAAUAGGGGCUAAGCAUGGAUGCCAUUACAAUUACAAAAAUUCCUGCGGACGCCCAUU